AAUAAUAAGGGCAGCAGAAUGUUGAAAUGUUCUAUCUUUAUCAUUAAAGUGGCAGAAAAUCAUUUAUUAGUAGGCACUGGGGGCAGAAGAUGCCUGAUUUUGUAUCUUUGUCAUAUUUGUACAGUUGUUUCAACAAGGAACUUAAAGACAAAAUGGAAAAACGAGGAGGUUUGUGCCUGAGAUCAUGUUGAUGGGAAACCAGGGAUGGCCACCUUGUGCCAGUGAUCUUUGUGUCUGUUUUUGCUCCGGACCGAUGCUCUUUGAUGACUGUGGCUUUGCAGUAUAAUCUGAAGUCAAGGUUAUGGACGUUUUCAGCUCUUAUGUCUUCAGGUAUGUUCUACACUGCUUUCUCUUUCCUUUUUGCUUCUGGGACCAGUAUAAGGCAAAUAUUAGUACACUUGAUGUUGUUUCACAAGUCUGUUCAACUUUCCUCAUUUCAUUUUAAUCUGUUGUUUUACCGUUCAUCUUCAGUGAUUGACUGUACUCUGUCCUUCAGGUUUCUGAUUCAUUCCUCUGUAUCAUUUAGUCUACAGUAGUUUCCUUUUG